ensembl:lncRNA
CCCGCUCCCCUCGCUGCAGUCUGAAAUUGGGUCUCUACUUUCCUGGCCUUUAUGCUUUACUUUUUAAACGUGCGAAGCCCGGAUUAAACGCUGAUUAGCAUGUCACGGGUGCGGGAGACGAGAGACGAGCUACAGCGCGGGUUUACGCUGUGGUGCUGCAGAAACCCGAGCCAGGAAGCAAGCGUAUGGAGCGAGAAGCACAUCAGCGUGGUCUACAGGAGCAGCGGGACUGACGUGCUGAGACGGGAGGUGUGCGUGUGUGUGGGUGUGAAGCUGGAGAUUUGCCCGGACCUUAGGUGUGAAACAGAUGUAACUUCUAAAACAAAACCAAAAAAAAAAAAAAAACGAAUUUAAAAAAAUUGCAUUACCUGGAAAAUGAUGCAAGCGGUUUUCCUGAUUCACGUUACUUCCCGGAUCUUUUAAUUAGUCUCAUUUCAUCUCAGUAGUCUCCUAAAAAAAACUAUUUUCACUCCCGACAUACAGGACACACGCCUACCAGCCACCUGCUGGGUGAUUAACACCGCAUUCCCUGCUUCACUACGCACCUCUUUCACUUCUAGCGCAAUUACAAACGUUUUUUAAAAAACUGAGGAAAUAUUAUUCCCCGUGUUCCUCCAUCCCAUUUCUCUUUACAUGAUAUCACAUGCCACAGCGGGUCUCCAACUUUUUACACUUCAACCAGAGAGAGAGAGAGAGAGAGAGAGAGAGAGAGAGAAUUAUUCAUAGUGCUGAUUUAUUUUACACACAAACUAUUGAAAAAUUGUCAUAUUGUUAAAAUGUGUAAUGUUUUGCCGAUUUACUGGCUUUGUUUUUUUUUUUUAUUAUUAUUUAGUUAUUUUUUUUUAAAGUAAACUUCCCACCAAAACAUUUGUAUUAAAACUAGAUUUGAAUAUUCUAUUGACGUUGUUUACAGAAUAACAUUUAAAAUGGUGCAUCGGGGCUUAUAAUAUCAUUUAUCAUUUAUAUAUCAUUUAUUUUUAUUUAUUUUUUAAUUUUUUUAAAUGGUCAGAACUGUAUUUGAUUUCUGUGGACCGUAAAUAAAAGUAAUAAAUAUUGAAAAAUCAUAUUUAAAAAAAAAAAAAAAAAAAAAAAAAGGGAUUUUUACCAAUAAUUUUUUUAAACAUAUUUAUUAAAUACAUAAUAGAAAUGUAAAAUAGGUAUCAGAUAAACAUCUCAAAAAAGGAAACGCGGAUUAUUUCAAGCUGAUAAAACUACAGUACACUCGUGUCGUUGUAGUCUAUGAAUUGUGGGCGUGGCCUUGUUUGUUUUUUUAUGGUGAUUAAGAAACAAUAGGGGCUAUAUACAGCUAUCUAAUUAUACACAAAUGGCAUAACGCACUAAUCGGUGUGAAGAGCUUUCUUCUCUCCCCUGUACGAGCGGUUUUAUUAACUGCACCUGCUGCGUCUCGACACAUUUAAUGACAUUAAAAGGUAAGAUGAAAGUUGUUCGUUUUUUUUUUUUUUUUAAGUUUUUCGUCCAUUUUUGCGGCAAAAAUAAACAGGAACCGACUGCAGGUAGGAAUUAAAGCGGGGAACUGAAGAAACGUCGCGCCACGGGAUUGGUCCAAGGAGUGUCGUAUCUAAUUUGCAUAAUAUGAAGAAAAUCUGAAUCCAAGAUGUCGCUGAACGUACGCGUCACGCACUUGCGUCGAGAAUUAAUAACUCGCCCGUUGCUUUGUUGUUUGCUAGCUUAACAGCUUAAGCUCAAGUUUAGUUAGUUGAACUUAAGCUAACACGGUACUGGUUCCGUGAUGUCAUCACACGUCUAAGCGAAAUGGUCACAAACGUUCGUUCCCACUACACGAGCAGAAUUUGCGACGUUUUGGCGGCUAACACCCGACACCGCCCCUUCCGUCAUGGAUGAUUCAUCGCACAGUCCGUUGGCUUUGUCGUCUGACGCAUCGACUCAUUCUCAUGGAUUCACCCUCAGGGUCAUGUUCAAACACAUUAGCCGUUUUCCCCGUCCUCCCAAAACCUCCAUCAGAUCCGAGUGCAGAAGGAGGCGAGGUUAUUAGUCGGGGAAAACGGAGCACCACGGGGCCGAGCCGGCGCCGGGACAAGCGACGGGAUCAUUGGAUUCGGUCACGGAAUCGUGGAUAAAACUCAUCUAUCUGACUCUGGGAGGCGGGAAUGAGGUGUCUUUAGAGGAACGGGACGCUCAGGAGGGAUGUAAUGCAAACGGGUAAUGAGGCAAAGCGCUAACGGCUACGCUGCAGGAACAGGAAGUUCUUGGGGUUUGUAUAGCGAGCGCAGUGUACACUGAACACCGAACAAAGUGUAGAGCAAAUAUUAGCGUUUCUACUUCUGAUGAAAAAGCUCAACGACGUGGAAAUUGCCGCACGCUGGCGCCGUAGCAGGCGUGUUCAAACUCCCGAAGGAGUGAACAUUCCUAGAAGUGCUUUAGUUGAAUCAUUUUUAUUUACGAAUAGUGUAAUUCCUAUUAAUAAUACCAACAGUCGAUACAACCUACAGCUAGCGUUAUUAUACGGGUGCCAAAAGUUUCGCACCCUAGUUUAGAAAACAAGAACUACGACGGAAAAAUUUACAGAAAUUUAACGUUCCACAAAAGCUAAUGAAUAAAAAUACAACACACCUGAUGUUCUGAUUAGACAUGUUAUUGUGAAGUGGGCGGGGCUUCAGAUAACGUCACGCAUAUUAUCAGUGAAAUAAAGAUUCUGUUUUUCUUGUUGUUACUGAAGCUUAAAAGACGAUGAGUUAUUAACACAUUUUAUUAAAAAAAUUUUAAAAAUCAGAAUAAUUUCCUGGAGUCCAAAAUUAUUGGCACCCCUAAAUAACAUCUUGAAAUAAUUGCAAGCAAAUCCUUAUCAUCCUUUUAAAAAUAAAGCUCUGUUUUAUAAAAUUGCUCUCCAUUUCCAGAAACUUCCAGACCAGGUCCAGGCUUGCGCUGGUGUCAAACCGAUUCCUCGUCCAUCACCAUGGAGACAACUAACGAGUUUUGGUUCAGGAGGUGCAUUUCAUCAUAUGGCUCUGCAUCAGAUGAGACCAGGAUACGACUUUCUGGUUGCCUCUGCCAGAAGGUUCCAGCUGUAGAUGCAGAUAACGAGCAUCUAAAUCGGCAGUGAAUCAGCGUUUUUGGGACGUCUACGCGCACAGAUAUCCCAUUACGGACGGGAUUAAAACAUCGCGGCUGGAGGAGGAGAAGUCUGAGAUCAUCUGCAAGCAUCUCCAACCUCGUUAGAAAGCACAGAGAUGACCCUUCCUGGAAUU